CCUACGGGAGGCAGCAGUAGGGAAUAUUGGGCAAUGGAGGAAACUCUGACCCAGCGACGCCGCGUGCGGGAUGAAGGCCUUCGGGUUGUAAACCGCUUUCAGUAGGGAAGAAGCGAAAGUGACGGUACCUACAGAAGAAGCACCGGCUAACUAUGUGCCAGCAGCCGCGGUAAU
rnacentral:rRNA from 1 species